rnacentral:RNase_P_RNA from 1 species
UUUGAAGCACGGGCAUUCGCUUUUCCCUCCGGGGGAGAGAGGAAAGUCCGGACACCACAGGGUAGGAUUCCCUUUGAAAGGAGGGGCGCAUUGUUGAAAAAGGGUGCGACGGAUAGUGUCACAGAAAAUAUACCGCCUCGAAAGAGGUAAGGUUGAAAUGGUGGGGUAAGAGCCCACCGCCCGAAGGGUAACCGACGGGGCAGGAUAAACCCAAUCCGGUGCAAGGCGAAUAGGGGAUCGGGCGACCCGUCCAUUGGUCCCGGGUUUAGCUGCAUCCCGCGCAAGCGGGAACGUCGAUCUCGGUCGGCGUAGAUGAAUGAAUGCCCUCCAUGGCUUCGGCAAUGGAGACAAAAUCCGGCUUAUAGUGCUUCAAAGAUC